rnacentral:lncRNA from 1 species
CAGAGGAUGGACGGGCUCUGUGGGACCUCUAUGUCAUCCUCUCCUCCCCGCCAUGUGGCCUCCCUGCAUUUCCCUUUCAGAGUCCACAGCUUGACCAUCCGUGGUGGGCAGGCUUGGAAGUCACAAACACCCCAAAAGAGAUUUUCUGUCGCAGCAGCAGCACUGGGCAGCUCACAGAAACUCGGAGCCCAGGGUCUGCACAGGCUCAGAAAGCCCAGGAUCCUCCUCUGCCCUGGGUGCCCCCGACAGCCCAAAGGGGAAGGGGUCAGACGCGCAACAGUGUGACUGUGGCCUCCUCUCAGCCCAGCCCGCCUCUGGAGCAUCGCGGUCACUGUCCGUGACGCACAUGGGGUGCCUCACAGCUGGAGACACGCUGUAGGACUGACCCACAGAAUGUCAGAGCUAAGGGGGCUCCAAGACCUCAUUUUCCCCAACACUUUGCUUUGCAGAUGGGAAAGCAGAAGCCCAGAGAGGGGAAGGAAUUCCCUCAGGUCACACAGUGAGGGGCAGAGAGGGAAUGGAAGCUAGCUUUUGGACAGAACUCAUUUCUUUCGGAAGGCUCCUGGGCGAUGGCCCCUGCCUGGAACAACUAACAGCCUUGGAAACUCAGAGUAGCACACAGUAGGUGCUCAGCAGACAUUUGUGGACUGAAUAAGUGAUUAUUAUGGGACACAAAAAGCAGACCGUGAAGCUGGGAGUGGACCCCAAAUCCUGUCUUCCAACAGGAAGUCCUGCUCCUCUUUGCUACCAGUGAAGCGGGGCUUGGAAAGGAGGCGAGGGAGGGAAGAAGCGCGGCCGUGAAUCCUUUGUAAGGAGAAAUCAGUGGGGAGCGGGAAGCCCAUGGGAGUAGGCUCAUCCCAGGAAAUCAGGUAGAGAGGAGCAUGGUGGCUGGACCCUUGGCCCUGCUCUCCCAGGCACCACACCAUCCCCCACCUGGGGAACAGGGAGCACUUAGGUUUGGAAUCCUGGGGAAGAGAAGUUCUAUUUCCGUUGGGCUGUUGAGGCCUGUGACCGGUGGUGGCCAUCUUCUUUCAUCAACGGAAAAACCACUUGAGAAGGACACCAGUACAGAGGGGAGGAAGCCAAGCCAAGAGGCUGGGAGAGCCGAUUCCUGCUGACGGCAUCAAGCACCCAGGCUGUCAGCUGUACGAGAAUGGCGACCUCUGUGUGCUUCACUCUGCUGUGCCCGGUGUCUGGAGCUGGCCCACAGGCAGUAGGGCCUCAGUGGUGUGCGCUGGGCAAGUGAACACCGCCGACCACAAGCAAGCACAUUUCUGGGAGUUCUCAGUGUUACUGGCUCACUCGCUGUUUAUGGAGCCCCGCUCUGUGCCCUGCCCCGACUUAGGCCGCAGGCACGACGUCAGUGAAGGAGACGAGAAAAUAAACUCUGCUGCCCCCAUGGAGCUGACAUCGCAGAGGGAAACAAAGAGUGAGGAGAGCACAGCAGAGCCCACGGUGCAUGAGCAGCCAGCAGUGUCUUCUCCAACGGAAGCCCAUCACGUCGCUCCCUGCGCCUGGACCCCCUGCUCCUUGGAACAAAACCCAAAGCCCUUGCUGUGGAACUGAACUUGGACUAAUGAGGGAGCUCGGAGGCAGCCGCGGCCCCAGCCAGCCAGGGCCCAGGCUCACAGAAGAGGAGGAGAAAGCCUCGUCAGCAGAGCCUUCUGUUAUCAGAGCUGACUGCUCUUCCAGGCCGUGAGCUGGGGGAUAUUUAAGCUUGGAGACCCAGCGAGAAAUGCACCAGUGGGGAGUGGUCCCAGAAACAAGGGGUGCUGGCCCAACGCCCCACUCCCCAGCCUCACACCCCACCUCUGUCUUGUAUGCUCCUGACACUCUAGCUCCUGUCUGGAAGGCCUCUGCUCCAUUUCCUGUGGUCAGAGCUGUGUCUCGGGACCCUGCUAGACACCACUUCCCUAAGAUGCUGUCCUGACACGGCCAGCAGCAGCGAGCGUGUGCUGUGCUGGGCAUGUCCUUCCUUUGUACCUGUGAACAGGUGACUGUACGAUGGGGAAGUCCCCAUCUUGUCUUCCCAGCUGGACCGUGCUCUUUGGGCAGGAUCCGUGUCUGAUUCACCUCGGGGAGCCCGACAGGGUUUGGUCAAGUGCCCAGCAUGUGGGCUUCACAGAGAGUGAACCUCGUGGGCAAGAGUGUCUGUGGGAAACUGAACAAUUCAGUAUGCUGGGACCGUGCUGGGGCCGUCUCGUGAGAAUGUGGAAAGACUCUGCACACAGUGCCACCCGCCUUGCAAGCAGCAGCCAGCGGCCUCCUGGACAUCCUCAGCGUCUUAGGAGGCCAGGCAGAAGCUCUCUGACAGAUGAAUCCUCCUCUGGACCCCCCAGGAUGUCUGGCUUCCCGUGAGCUCCUCUGGAACCUUGAGCAGGCUGAACAGCCCGCACCUCGGUCACGACUCUCAGCGGGACUGCUCUGUGCCACUGUCAUAAAAAGGAGAAAUCAUCCCAGGGGACAGGCCCAACUCAUGCAUAAUAGUCAGAAAACUCAGCUGUACCUGGAAGUGACCUGAGGCUGCUUUUUGGGCCCACACCCGUGCCACUUCUCUGGCUCCCCACACAGGCUGGCUCACGGGGCUUGGUUCCCCUAUCAUGGACCUCUUGGUUGUAGAUAAUAAAGGCCACAGGAUCGGAAGUUUCCCUCGGUCCUUCUGGAAAUGUUAGGUAACGUUAGUACACAGUUUCUCCCUUUCUGCCCUGCACCAUGGCUCCCAGCCUUUUCCCUUCAGAACCACAUUCAUUGCUGCUGAGAGUUACCAUAAUAAUUCUAAGUCAUUUUUCCACUUUGUCGUUCUGAUUAACUCCAAGUACUACAUCACUACACACUUCUCAAACUGGAGCAUGCACGGCCCCAUUUCUGUGUAGGGAGAAUGCAAAAGUAACUGUGACACACCUUUCUGGAGCAUCCAGUUGAUUACAAGACUUGGAAGACCAAGGACUUUACCAGAACUGUCCCUCUACCCUACAAACAUGGAAGAAGAGAUGGAGGGGACAGGAGAGGGAAGAAGUGCCCGAGGAAAAGCAGCCCAGCCUCUGAAGUUUCACCCAGGUUGGGGCCAAGGGGCACACCUGCAGCGAGGUGGCCUCUCCUCGUGUCCCCAGGCACCUCCAGGCCGUCCUCGAAGUUCACCAAGUAUCUUGGAUAUAUGCUUCUGAAGGCCAUGGAGAUGCCAGAUGCCAUUCUGAUGUGAAUCCCGUGUGGAGGAGGCUGCAGCAGCUUGCACACCUCCAUCGUCUGCUGGACCAAAUCCUCUCACCUGGAUGUCCGCGCACAUAUGGCGUGUGCUUCUCGCACUGCUCCCGCUCACAGCUGAAUGCAUCUCACCUCUGGCCAAACUCCCUCGCCACUGUGCCAGCCUGUGGAGCUCGGCAUCUUGCUCUCCAUUUAAAACGCAGGGGUUUGGCUUGACCUCCCCACCAUCUUUGAUUUGGACCCUGCCAUGAGAUCAAAUUGGCUUCACUCUAUUGUGUUUGCCAUGCCGGUUCUUGCUGGGCACACAGAAACAGAAGCGUCUUAUAAAGUUUAAGAAUCUACCAGCGGACCUCCUUGGGCCCUGGCUGGGGCCAGAGGGAGAGGCUGGGGUCGCCCCAGCACGCUGCCCAGCGUGCAGGAAGGUUCCACUGCAGGACACACCCUGGGGGCAGUUGCUUUCCGCUGGGCCGCCACUACUGUUGCUGGUGCUGUGGGUGGAGGGGAAGGCCCCAGGGCCGUUCUGGAGGGUUGGGCUGGGGGUGGCAGUUCUCGACUCCAGGCUGGCCGGGGUACUGGCAGGCUCUUUGGCCUUUGGCCCUGACCCCUGUUUCUCCCCAGGCUGCUGAUUUUCUGCCUUGCAGAGCCAGAUGCGAAAACCAUGUUCGCUGUGAUCACGUCUUCCUGGGAGUGCAAAGGCCUUCAGAUGCACCGUGCAGGUCUGGGAAGAGCUGCAGCUGUUGGGGUCAAUGACCUUACAGUGACGGUGUGACCCUCCACCCGGGGUUUCUUGGAACUAAGCAUCAGGCACGUGGACGUAACAUCGUCAUACCUCCUUCUUGUUAAGGAAUCCUGGAUCUUGUCCCACUCAAAGCCCAUGUUCAUCAUUACCUGUGUCACCCAGGAGUCCCUGUUGUCACAGGGCAGCUCCUGGUAAGGCCUGAGUCUCUCCUGGCCCAUAUUGACCCACAGGUCCUCCAGGACAUCUUUUAAACUCCUUUUCUUGCUGGGGUCAAGGGUCAUCAGUUCUUUCAAGAGCCUUCUGCAUUCCAGUGAAAGGAACAUGGGAAGCGGGUAUCGCUGGCUCAGCACCAGCUGCUGCACUGUGCAGAUGUCCUCUCCCAGGAUAGGUGGGACCCAGUGACUAUAACGUAAAGAAUAACGCCAAGGUUCCAGAUAUCAGCCGGGGGACUGUAUAGCCUGGGCCCUGGAAGGUCUCCAGGCAGUAUAACCAGGCCACUGCAGUACGCGCUCAGCUUGCACCCGACGAACACGUUGCUGAGGCUGAAGUCCGCCAGCUUCACAUUCAGUUCAGCAUCCAGAGGCAGGUUCUCCAGGCUCAGGCCCCUGUGGACAAUGCCUCUGUGGUGGCAGUAUCGGAGAGCCGAGCCGAGCUGCCGGAAUUUUCCUUGGGCCUCUUCCUCCAGCACGCCGCCGUGGUUUCAUAAGUAAUUGAGUGUGUCUCCUCCACUAACGUCCUCCAGGACGAAGAACAAUGUUUCCUCCGUGUCAAUCACCUCAAACAACCUUACAAUAUGGGGGUGACUCAAGGCCUUCAGGCUGUGGACUUCACGGAAAAGUUCCCUGAUUCUGGUGAGGCUGUGUCAAGUCUUGCGAAUGACUUUAACAGCCACCUCUGUCACGGUUGGGAUGUGCCAGGCCAACUUCGCGCUGGAGAAGAUACCCUUUCCAAUGGUCUUGAGGAGCUCAUAAUUGUUAACACAGGUCUUCUUGUUGGCAGAGGUGGCUGCAAGGCCCAGAAGCAUGGUGACCUGCUAACUACAUUAACUGACAAUACUAACAAUGCUAACUAUGCUUACUAACUACGCUAACAAACAAAACUAUAGUAUGCUAACUACUAGUAACUAAUGAUACUAACAAUGCCACCUAUGCUUACUAACUAUGCAAAUAAAUAAUACUGACUAAACAUGCUAACUACUAACUAUACCAACAAUACUAACUGUCCUAACAAUACUAAAUUUAAAAAUUAAAGAAAAUGAGAAAGAGAACAAAGAAAAAAUGAGAAAAGUACAAAGGGAAAUUGAGAAAAAGAAAAAAUAAAAAAGUGAGAAAAAGAAAGGAAAAAUGAGAAAAAGACAAAAAGAAUUUUAAAAAUGAGAAAGGAGAACAAAGAAAAAUAAAAAAUAAUAAGAAAAAAUAGGAAAUAAAAAUAAUAACAAAAAAAAGAGUAGAUAAAAAAGAAAAAAUAAACAAAAUGGGGGGUGGUGAGCAAACAAGCUGGCUGUGGUCCAGCUACAGGUCACCAAAAGUUAGCUUCCUGGGUUAUAAGAACCAAAAACCUAGGCCUGGCCAGAGACUUUAUAGGUAUUUUGCAAUUUCAUUACAGUGGCUCACUAGGAGGGCAAAGCAAGAAAUGUGCCAACCAUGACUGAGGAGAAACCACAGUGAUUUUCUCACUUUUUGGUCUCAAUACCCCUUUAGUCUUAAAAAAAGGACCCCAGACAAAGGGUUAAUCUCCAUACUAUAUAAAGAGCUCACACAACUCGACAACAACAAAUCAAACAACCUGAUCAAAAAAUGGGCAGAGGAUAUAAACAGACAUUUCUCCAAAGAAGAUAUACAGAUGGCCGAUAGGCACAUGAAAAGAUGCUCAUCAUCUCUGAUCAUCAGGGAAAUGCAAAUCAAAACUACAUUAAGAUAUCACGUUACACUCGUUAGAAUGGCAAAAAUAACCAAAACAAAAAAGAACAAAUGUUGGAGAGGAUGUGGAGAAAAGGAAACCCUCAUACACUACUGGUGGGAAUGCAAACUGGUGCAGCCACUAUGGAAAACAGUAUGGAAAUUUCUCAAAAAAUUAAAACUAGAAAUACCAUAUGACCCAGCCAUCCCACUACUGGGUAUCUAUCCAAAGAACUUGAAAUCAGCAGUUCAGAGAGACCCAGGCACCCCUAUGUUCAUUGCAGCAUUAUUCACAAUAGCCUAGACGUGGAAGCAACCCAAGCGCCCAUCAACUGAUGAGUGGAUAAAGAAGAUGUGGUAUAUAUACACAAUGGAAUACUACUCAGCCAUAAAAAAGAAUAAAAUCAUCCCAUUACAAGAACACAGAUGGACCUUGACGGUAUUAGGUUAAGUGAAAUAAGCCAGACAGACAAUCUCUGUAUGACUCCACUCAUGUGGAAGAUAAACAAACACAUGGACAAGGAGAACAGAUCAGUGGUUAUCAGGAGGAAGGGGAGUGGGGGGUAGGCACAAAGGGUGAAGAGGUGCACCUAUAAGAUGACUGACAAAUAGUAAUGUACAACUGAAAUUUCACAAGUUUGUAAACUAUUAUAACCUCAAUAAUAAUAAAAAAGGACUCCAAAGGGCUUUUCACUUAUGUGGGAUAUUAGAGAGUGAUAUUUAUUAGAAAUUAAAAUCUGUAGGAUGCUUCAGUGGCCUUUUCAUUUCUAAUUUAAAAAUCUGUAAUAAUUUCUGGCUUUUAAAGACCUCAUAAUGUCUACACUUAAAAUCUUCAAUUCCUUUUCCUUAAACUCUGAUUAGUCUCAAAAUGAUCCUAUAACUUAACUCAUGUUAUAAUACUAUAGGAUGCUGGUGUCGCCUAUAAUACUAUAGGAAAACGUUCUGUUGUAUAAGACAUGAGAACCAGGAACUUGCAAGAAAACACUGGAUGGGGUGUCUGUGACAAGUUCCUCUUUAUCAGUUCAGGUGCUAGCAGGAAAUACACAGCACGCUCAAAUUUGGUAAUUUGAGGUGAGUCUAAUAAAAGGACCAUUUGUAGAGAUGUGGGCUGGGUGUGAGGCAACAUAAGAGGGUGCAGUAUGCUGGGGCUAGAAACCAUGGGGAGCCAUUACCCACCGCCCUCUGCCCCCGGGGCUGCCAGGGAGCAGUUAGCAGGAACCCAAAGAGAACAGCCUGUGGGUAGAGAGCUGCUUGACUAAAAGCGUGGCCUUUGGAGAUCAGCCAGGCGGCAGUGAAGCUGCAGGAAGGGGGCCAGGGAAAUAAAUACCCCUCCCUACUUUCUUGCCUUCCUCGCCAGCCAAGCUCCAAAAUGGCCAAACUCAUAGAUAUGGUCCACGUGAUCCAGCCUUCUGGGGCAGAGAGCAGGAUGGAAAGUGGGUUUGCAGAGCUAAAUGGAAGCUUCCAGCACAACACGCUCUUUCCGCUAUUGUUGUCGAAGCAUUUCUCUUCUAUUUGCUAACUCCUAGGGUGGGGACAAGGCCUCCUGGGAACGGAGGCUGGACGCAGGGCAGCAGCAAGAAUACGAUGCAGUAAGGAUGGCCGUUACGGUCCCCUUCCAGACAGUGGGAAGUAGGUCUGCAGCUCAGGGCUCAGGCGCUGGGCAGGACCGUGACCCUCAGGAAAGAAGAGAGACUACCCACCCUGAGGGUUCCAGGGUGGCACUGGACAGAGGAAAAGUCAGGCAGGCCUGCCGCCCCCGAGGAAGAGAGCGACGUCGGCCACCCUUGACGAUAGUUUCCAGUUACUGGAGUUUCUGUUGCCUGAAUUCUGACUGCCCCGCAACCAAGUUCAGCCUGGAUCUCUCUUGUCUGAACCACUGCCAGGCAGUGCAGAACACAGACGGGCCACCUCUGUGUACAGAGGUGACUGGGCAGUCCCACCAAACCAAUCACAGUUUCUGCCAUGGUCUGCUACACGGCAUGGAGGAUUACUGUGCUGGAGACAGGCUCAUAUUAAAAUAUUAACCUACAUUUAAAAUGUUUCCAUCGUGUCCACGGGGAUCUCCAUUCCAUAUGUUUGCAGGGGCUCUGGGGCCAGCAGUGUGUCUGACUUUGAGUGUUUUAAAAUGAAGGCUAAAGGUGACUUGCAAUAAACCAGCACAAGUAAUAACACAGAGGCCAAGACACCCCCCUUAGUUAAUAUUGACUUUGAAGGCUUUCCUUCCGUGAACAGCAUCAGAGGCUGAUAGACCCUAGAGGCCACCUCCUUUAACUGGUUCAACCUCCCUUGGUUUAAAUUCUUCUCUUCGCCCCUCCCUUCCUCUCUCCUUUCUUCCCAAAAUGUGUUCAGCUGACCACCUGUAUUAGUUUCCUGUGGCUGCUGUAACAAAUGACCACAAACUCGGCAGCUUAAAACAACACAAACUUACUAUCUUACAGUUUGGAGGUCAGAAGUCUGAAAUGGGUCUUACCAGGCUAAAAUCAAGGUGUCAGCACGGCUGUGUUCCCUCUGGAGAAUCCACUUCUCGGCCAUUUCCAGCUUCUAGAGGCCAGCAUUCCUCCACUCAUGGCCCCUCCCUCCAUCUUCAAAGCUAGCAAUGGACAGUCAAGUGUUUCCCACGAUGCAUCACUCUGACUCUGAUUCUCCUGCCUCCCUCCUUCACUUAGAAGGACUCUUCUGAUUCCAUUGGGCCCAGCUGGAGAAUCCAGAAUAAUCUCCCCAUCUCAAGACCCUUAAUUUAAUCACAUCUACAAAAUCCCUUUCGCCACAUCAAGUAACACAUUCACAGGUUCUGGGAAUCAGGAUGUGGACAUCUUUGGGAGCCCAUUAUUCUGCCUACCCCUCAUGCAGGUUAACUUCAAGUUAUGUGCUUUCCUAGUACAUACCCUCCUUAUUCACGGUGCCCAUCAACACGGAAGUUCACUGCAACUGUAGUGGUGAAAUUAGUGAUUUAAUGUCUAUCCCCCUAACUGGAUAAAAAACUCUCCAAAGGAGGAGAUUAUAGAUGUUUUGACAACCACUAGCGUAUUCUCAGAGCUUCCUAGCAGCAAAGGCAAGUAAGGAAGCAUGUUGAGAAGGGAGGAAGAAGAGAAAAGAAAACAAUAGCUAACUUUUAAUGAUCACUCACCUGUGUGCCAGCAAUGUUCCAGGUGUUUUUAGCCUAUUUAGUUCACACGUUGUGAAGGAGGGGCUGUCAGCUACAGAAAGCAGUAGCACAGCUGGGAUUCAGAAUCCCUGAUCUGAACCACUGUGUCACAUAAACAAAUACUCUCAAACAGUAUUUCAUGUGCCAUAAUAGAAGUCUGAGAGGCAGAAAUGAAGGAGGGAGGGACCAGGUCUACAGAUGUGUCAGGCAAGAUUUUCCAGAAGAUGUAAUACAUGGAAGGCAGAGGGGGGUGUGCCGAGUUGGGGGUGGGGCGGGGGAAGGAGGGCUGUGAUG